GAUCAUGGCUCAGGAUGAACGCUAGCGACAGGCUUAACACAUGCAAGUCGAGGGGCAGCGGGUGUAGCAAUACACCGCCGGCGUACCGGCGUCACGGGUGAGUAACGCGUAUGCAACUUGCCUAUCAGAGGGGGAUAACCCGGCGAAAGUCGGACUAAUACCGCAUGAAGCAGGGAUCCCGCAUGGGAAUAUUUGCUAAAGAUUCAUCGCUGAUAGAUAGGCAUGCGUU
rnacentral:rRNA from 1 species